AGCGCAUGACAAGCACGGCACAAAAGUAGAGAGGAGCGUCAAACUCACUUAAUUGUCCUUCUGCCUAUAGGCAAGUUACACAUCUAGGAGAACGAAAUUCCGUUUUCUCCUUGGACCUCCGUGCCACAUGAACCACACAGUGCAGUUUGUAAAAAAAGAUAAAUACAACAGGCGAGUGCAGAAACAAGACAAGAUAGUGCAGUACGCAGGCCGCUUUCUGGCGGCAAUGUACAUAAUAUAUAAUAUACACAGGCAAUGUACACAACACAUUAAAAACAUUUCUGUAAAAUAUAAGAGUAGAGACUAGAGAUGCCAGGACAGCUAGCUAGCUACAGGAGCAGCAAUAAGUUAAACUGCUUAAUAAGUUAUUCAUCAUCAUCAUCAUCUGAACUGCUUGUCCCAUACGGGGUCGUGGGGAGCCGGAGCCUAACCCGGCAACACAGGGCGUAAGGCUGGAGGGGGGAGGGGACACACCCAGGAUGGGACGCCAGUCCAUCACAAGGCACCCGAAGCGGGACUCGAACCCCAGACCCACCAGAGAGCAGGACCCAGCCCAACCCACCGUGCCACCACACCCCCCUGAUAAGUUAUUUGUUUCUUCAAAUGAGUUAUUUGUUUAUUUCCAGCAUAGUCUGUUGGUUGUAAGUGGUUUUCGGAAGAGAAUGAAUGCUCCUGCUAGCCAUUUCAGACGAACAAGAAGAUAAUGGCACCAGUACGUUAGGUCCGUGAGAGGCCACUGCGUCUGUACGCACCACCGUCUUGGUUUAACCACUAUGCAAAGGAUAUGGUGGCCUUACAAUAUGAACUAAAAAUCAUGUUAAGCACCUGCUGUAUCCACCAAAUGAAUACUCCUAAUAUUCUGGCCUAUAUUGACCAUGGACAGAACACCGUGAAAAAACAUGAACUGGUCACCAAGGUGACCACUGGAUACCUUGAAACCACAGACUGUAUGAAUAUAACAUACCACGCUCAUGACACUGAAAAAAAGGUGAGUGCCCCAGUUCACUCAUGCUCACAUGAUUUCUCUCAAAGAUACAAUUUGCAGUUGUGA
rnacentral:lncRNA from 1 species